GCCCAGCUAGCUCAGUUGGUAGAGCACGAAACUCUUAAUCUCAGGGUCGUGGGUUCACGCCCCACAUUGGGCA